CCCAGGCGACUGAAGCCUUGUACUGCCGAAGCAUUGUCCAUCCGGAGGGGAACGCAGUAAAUGAUUCGCCAACUCCUAAUUACGAACUAACCCGCAAGCAGUUCCCGGUCGUUCAUGGGGAACUCCGACCCCAUCACCAACCAUGGAUCGUCAGGAUUGAUGCAGAGGGGAGGUCCACCACUCAUAGGUCUACGGGACGACAGGUGAAUUGGUUGGGUCUGUCCUACCAAGGGAAUUGGCAAAAACUUUUGGCACUCAUUGUCCGCCGGGACAGAGAGGCAUGCGUCCAACCAAUCCAGUUCCGUGAACCCUCCUGAAGUGAUGGUAUACCACAACGGCAUUUAAGAUUCUCCGGUAAAACACAGAGUGGGAAAAAAAAACAGACCUUGUUCCUACCAUAAAAUUGGGGAGAAGCACAGAGCUCAGUCUUGUAAGGAAAAAAAUAGGUCUAGGACAGCAUCCUCUGAGCAAGUCUUGG